AUUGAACGCUGGCGGCAUGCCUUACACAUGCAAGUCGAGCGGUAGAGAGGUGCUUGCAUCUCUUGAGAGCGGCGGACGGGUGAGUAAUGCCUAGGAAUCUGCCUAGUGGUGGGGGAUAACGUUCGGAAACGGACGCUAAUACCGCAUACGUCCUACGGGAGAAAGCGGGGGAUCUUCGGACCUCGCGCCAUUAGAUGAGCCUAGGUCGGAUUAGCUAGUUGGUGAGGUAAUGGCUCACCAAGGCGACGAUCCGUAACUGGUCUGAGAGGAUGAUCAGUCACACUGGAACUGAGACACGGUCCAGACUCCUACGGAGGCAGCAGUGGGGAAUAUUGGACAAUGGCGAAAGCCUGAUCCAGCCAUGCCCGCGUGUGUGGAAGAAGGUCUUCGGAUUGUAAAGCACUUUAAGUU
rnacentral:rRNA from 1 species